rnacentral:rRNA from 1 species
AUUGAACGCUGGCGGCAUGCCUUACACAUGCAAGUCGAACGGUAACAGGUCUUCGGAUGCUGACGAGUGGCGAACGGGUGAGUAAUACAUCGGAACGUGCCUAGUAGUGGGGGGUAACUACUCGAAAGAGUGGCUAAUACCGCAUGAGAUCUACGGAUGAAAGCAGGGGAUCGCAAGACCUUGUGCUACUAGAGCGGCCGAUGGCAGAUUAGGUAGUUGGUGGGAUGGAAGCUUACCAAGCCGACGAUCUGUAGCUGGUCUGAGAGGACGAUCAGCCACACUGGGACUGAGACACGGCCCAGACUCCUACGGGAGGCAGCAGUGGGGAAUUUUGGACAAUGGGCGAAAGCCUGAUCCAGCCAUUCCGCGUGCAGGAUGAAGGCCCUCGGGUUGUAAACUGCUUUUGUACAGAACGAAAAGGUUUCUACUAAUACUAGGAGCUCAUGACGGUACUGUAAGAAUAAGCACCGGCUAACUACGUGCCAGCAGCCGCAGUAA